CCUACGGGAGGCAGCAGUGGGGGAUAUUGCACAAUGGAGGAAACUCUGAUGCAGCGACGCCGCGUGAGGGAAGACGGUCUUCGGAUUUUAAACCUCUGUCUUUGGGGAAGAAAAUGACGGUACCCAAAGAGGAAGCUCCGGCUAACUACGUGCCAGCAGCCGCGGUAAUACGUAGGGAGCGAGCGUUGUCCGGAAUUACUGGUUGAAAAGGGAGCGUAGGCGGGCGAGAAAGUUGAAUGUUAAAUCUACCGGUUAAACUGGUAGCUGCAUUUAAAACUGCUUGUCUUGAGUGUAGUAGAGGCGGGCGGAAUUCCUAGUGUAGCGGUGAAAUGCGUAGAUAUUAGGAGGAACACCAGUGGCGAAGGCAGCCCGCUGGGCUUUAACUGACGCUGAGGCUCGAAAGUGUGGGGAGCAAACAGGAUUAGAUACCCUAGUAGUC
rnacentral:rRNA from 1 species